rnacentral:lncRNA from 1 species
UUUCAGUCACACGCAAACCUGAGUCCGACUUAGUCCGUAAGAAAGCUCCUCCUCCGCCUAAGAGAGCACCCAGCACGUCGCUCACACUGCGCUCCAAAUCUAUGACUGCUGAACUGGAAGAGAUAGAAAAGCUGGACGAGAUGUUGACUGGGUCCCAGGAGGUGAUGAUGAGAAAAUGCCCCUUGGAGGCAGACUACAGAGCGGCCACCGUGAAGCAGCGGCCAACCAGCAGGCGGAUUACUCAGCAAGAGAUCAACUCUUUGUUUGAGCGGCAGGGCCUGCCUGUUCCCCCAGGGGUUUCCCUGGGGCUGGAGAAAGCCACCAUGCAGCUGCCUCGUGGAAUGUCCCGG